AAUAUAAAAAACAGUGAAGUCAAAAGAUAAAUAAUGGUUUUAUUUGUCAUCUAUUUGGCUAAUUACGGUAUAGACAUUAUAAAUUAUAGACAAUAUGUGUGUUCUGGGUCAGAGGCAGGGUGAAAAGCCAGGAUCAGUAGUAGGAAUGUCUCAUAUUGUUAUCAUCUUCUCUGCUCCGUACACCUCAGAAGGGACAUGCCUUUGCUGAUUUGAGGAUUCCUCUGAGGUCGGGAGCUAAGUUUGCACCAUGCUUAGAAAGGAGUGUGCAGAUCUGUGAUUCCUUCAAGUCCAUGUGCUCCAUUUGCACCAUUUUUAGGAUGGAGCCUGGAGACCUAUAAUGAACAUCCUGUGCUAUGUUAAGGAUUCCUCCAUGAUCACGCGCCCCGUUUGUACACCAUGCUUGGGAAGGUGCAUGCAGACCAAUAAUGGACGUACUUGUGAUGAUUUAAAGAUGCCUCCAAGGUCACGUGCUCUGUUUGCACCAUGCUUACGAAGGAGCGUACAGACCAAUAAUGGAUGAAUUACACACCUUGAAAAGUUCUUCCAUGGUCACCUGAGGCAUCUGCGUCAUGAUUAGGCUCAGGAAGACUAAUAAUGGAUGUACUUGUUCUGAUUUGAGGACUUCUUCAUGGUCACGUGUUCUGUUUGCACCAUGCUCAGGAAGGAGCAUGUGUACCAGUAAUAGAAGCACAGAAGCUGGUUUUCACUAGUUAAGAGCUGUAUGGUCCAUCUCUGUGCUAGAAGCUGGAAACCAAUAACAGUCACUCCCUGAACUGAUUCUGCCAUGACCACUUGCUCUAUGGUUGUUUUAAGGAACCUACAGAAAAAUUUCCAUAGAAUGAACACACUCAUCACUACAAUGAUUCUGUAAUGAUGAAGACCUUUAUGGGUCCAUGUGAGUAAUGAUCCAAGUUCUUGUCAUUGUUGGGAUGGUCCAUUUAGGGUAUUUAGUGUAUGAUAAAAUAAUACAUAAUAUAAUCAAUGAAGGCUACAUAAGGACCAAUGAUAAGAUUGCAUUAUAAAUCAGGGUUCAUGAUGACUACUGUUUUGCACAACAGAAGCCCUUUUUAAAAGAAGAGCUCUACAUGUUUAGGUCUGUCGGUAUGGAAUCUGGAGUCAGAUGUACAUAACUCUCAUAGCUCUUAUGUUGGGUGGUUCCUUUAAGGGUGUUCCUGGUAUUGUUAAAAUGGAUAAUAUGUUGGUUAAUAAGAUGGAGCUCCAUUCACAAACCAGAGAUAAAAAUGUGGCAUAAAUCAUUGUUUGUGAUCAAUUUCUACGAUGGUUACUUCACAUUCACUAAGUCGAAACCUAAAUCUAGGUGUUUUCAUUUGGUAAUAUCUUCUUUCAUUUGGUAAUAUCAUCUACAGGAUGGGCAGACCAGAGCUGAUUCAAUUAUUCUCCCAUGAUGAGGAACUUUACCUUAUCCCUCAGAGUAAGGAGAAUAUCAUGUAAUGUAAGUAAUAAAGUUCUUGAGUUGGGUUGUUAGUUCAUGAUUUCUAUUGUCAUUUAAAAAGACAAUUAAAUUUUAAAAGGUCAUACAUAGGCUUAUGAUGAGAAUGUGUUAUGGACCGAAAUUAAUCCAAUUUAGCACAAAUGAAGUAUAAGAAAAAAACUUAGCUUUUCCAUUCAUUUUCAGUAGUUAAAUGUCACAUUGUAUGUUUGUCUCAUUGAUUAUUUAAAGACUCUUCUCUUGAUAAAGGCUGUUACUCAUUUAUGGAGUCAGUAUUCUAGUUGUUGAGUAGGAUGGUGGUUCAAGUUUUUCAUUUGAUAUCUAAAAAUUGUUCAAAUUAAAUGUAGAGGGGCCAUGUCUGGACCAAUGAUGUGAAUGGAAUGCAUCUGAAUAAAAAUUAUGAUCAAUCAGUUUUUGAACAACUGAGGUCCACUGCGAAAAGAACUAAUAUCUAAACAUUUGUGGGAAUAAUGUCAGGAAAGUUUGGGAAUCUAGUUCUGGAGCUUGAGAGGGUUCACAGAUACUGAUUUUAUACGAUUAGCAGAUGCACUUGUGUGAAUCAACACACAAGUAUAUUCAUGAGUAAAGAAAAAGAGGUUAAGACAUGGACCAAUUCUGAGGGCGUGUUGUAAGCAAGGAAUAUAAUUAAUUCAGUUCUGAAAUACCUUGGUCCAUCAAGAAAUAAAAAACAGAUUAAAUUUGUCACCACUUUGGGUAAGAAGCAUCUCGAUAGAAGUACUUAAUAGUCAAUAUUCUGCUCUUAGUUUGCUGUGGGUUCCCAGAUGUUUGAUUCAUUAAGACAAAAAAAUUAAAAUUAAACAAACAAAUACGUGUAUAACUAAAUAAAUGGGUGCCAAGUAUGAACCAAUGAUAAGGGUACUUCAUUAUUUUCUAUAUCUUCUUUGUAACCCCACAGAACAGAGGUAACUUGGCUGUUUUAAUAAUUAUUUAAAGGAUGAAGAUCUUGACUGUUACCCAUGUGACCAAGGAGAGUGUAGAACAGGGUGAGUCAGAUUAAGUUUUUAUUCUUGGUUUAGGCUUUUGUUAGAGAUGAUGAUUAGUUAUUAUUUAAAAAGGAGAAAUGACUUUAUGCAGUCAUAAAAUCCAAGAAGACCAUGCCUGAACCAAUGACAAGAAUGAAUCCUGCCAGGUGUCAUGGUUAAUUCAUUGUGCAAAACGAGAUCCAUUUAAAAAGAGGUUUG